UGAGGAGGAGAAGGCUCGCAAUAAUCAGAUCCAAGCUUCUAUUGCCCAGACUUUUCGCCGGCAAGCCGAAGCUCUUGGUCGGAAACGGACAACAGCUAAAGCCACAGUUGCUGCAUUUUCUAGGAGAAAACAAGGCCGUCACCAAGAUGCCCACUCAAGAGGGAGGAGAAAUUGUCGAGCAGCUGAUAUUCAAGGAUCUGAUGACAAUGAGGAUGCAAAUGGCGAUGGGUGCAAAGAUUCAUCAUCUGCUGAG
rnacentral:misc_RNA from 1 species